AUCAUUCAUCGAGUGUUGAUUUGGAUCUUAAAGAGUCUUAAAACCUUUGGGUUUCGGAUAUUUUCACUUUUUGAACGUAUUUUCUCGUACGGUAGGUUAACAUCGAUUUUGAAGAUUAUAAAAUGAUCGGAGGAAUGUAGCUUCGAUCUCGUAUUGAAGUGUUAUAGCCUUUGGUAGAUGUAAUGAUCAAGAUCGAGGAUUGCAACGAAUACCCUUUUGGGCUAUCCGUCUGAUCUCUGAUACGUUGCCUCGGUAACGAAAGCGUGCUUACGGUAUUGAGGUAUUACGGUUAAAAGGUUAGAACGUGAUUAAA
rnacentral:rRNA from 1 species